CGCGCGCUCCCCGCAGGUGGUCAUCCGCCGCCUGCCUCCGGGCCUCACCAAGGAGCAGCUGGAGGAGCAGCUGCGCCCGCUGCCAGCACACGACUACUUCGAGUUCUUCGCCGCCGACCUGAGUCUUUAUCCUCAUCUCUACUCAAGAGCAUACAUUAAUUUUAGGAAUCCUGAUGACAUCCUUCUUUUUAGAGAUCGUUUUGAUGGAUAUAUCUUCCUUGACAGCAAAGUGGCUCACACCUGUAAUCCCAGCACUUUAGGAGGCCAAGGCGGGUGGAUCACGAGGUCAGGAGUUCGAGACCGGCCUGAGCAACAACGUGAAACCCUGUCUCUACUAAAAAUACAAAAAUUAGCCAGGCAUGGUGGCAGGCGCCUGUAGUCCCAGCUACUCGGAAGACUGAGACAGGAGAAUUGCUUGAACCUGGGAGGCGGAGGUUGCAGUGAGCCGAGAUCAUGCCACUGCAUCCCAGCCGGGGCGACGGAGCAAAAAAAUAUGCCUAGAAUAUCCUGCAGUGGUAGAGUUUGCUCCAUUCCAGAAGAUAGCCAAAAAGAAGCUGAGAAAAAAAGAUGCCAAGACUGGAAGCAUCGAAGAUGAUCCAGAAUAUAAGAAGUUUUUAGAAACCUACUGUGUGGAGGAAGAGAAGACCAGUGCCAACCCUGAGACUCUGCUGGGGGAGAUGGAGGCGAAGACAAGAGAGCUCAUUGCUAGAAGAACCACACCUCUUUUGGAAUAUAUUAAAAAUAGAAAAUUAGAAAAGCAGAGAAUUCGAGAAGAGAAGCGAGAAGAACGGAGGAGGAGAGAGUUAGAAAAGAAACGUUUGCGGGAAGAGGAAAAAAGAAGAAGAA
rnacentral:lncRNA from 10 species